rnacentral:lncRNA from 1 species
GGGUUCAACAAGAAGCGGCAGCUGGGUUCGCAGUUGGCGACGAGCUUGCCGGUGGCGCUGUCGUAGGUCUCCAUGGUCUCCACCAGGAAGUCUGGCUCGGGGUUUUCGAUGAGCGGGUCAACGCAGCAGGUCGGCUGCCAGAACCACCCUGGCUGGCAGCGAGUCCCCGGCCACUGCAGGAGUCACGAUCCGUUAGACUUCAUUAACAGUUUACCGUACAAGAAAGGCUUUCUGUAAAGCCGAGAGAGAGAGAGAGAGAGAGGAAUAGGUACUAUGAGAGACAGGAUCAUGUAGUCGUAUGAAGCAGCUGCUAGCGCACAAGAGGCGGCGCACAAGAGGAAGCAGAACGUGGGAAGAGCCUUUGAGCCAGCCAUUCUGCAGAGGUGGAGAGGAUGAUCGGGGGAGAGACGCUUCGUGAGGUGAUGAGUCUGAUGGCUCUAUAUAAGCACUACAUUGAAGACACACCCACCUACUGAUAAUUGUUGGACUAAUAAUGCACCGCGAUUGCUGUUAGGGGGGUCUUAAAAUAAUGCACUUCGCAUAAAAUGUCGUACACCAACAUGAAACAUGAGGGACAUUCCCGCAUAUCGCAAGCAUAGUGGGUUGCAAAAUGCAAGGAAAGAAAGUAAGGAAUUUAUUUGAUUAUGGUCUCUCAUAGCUAUAAGAUUAUGGUCUCUCGUAGCUAUAUGGACUAUGUGACAUCGUCAAACCACGAUGUCACCUCCACCCUCCACCCCACCAGCCACUGGACCCUUUCCAUACAUUACAAUCAUUAAUCUUGAUGGAGGUGAACGAGAGAUAAUCAUAAGUAUUUUUCCUCUCUUCUCUUUUGUAUGACUCAUCGUAUUAGAUAUUAUCGUACGCUUCACGCACAUAUUGUUUUACUCACCUGAUCGAGCAACGAUAAUAGUGUGAUAGAAGCGAGCAAGGGAUACUCCUUCGACUAAGGGGCUUGAAAUCUAAGAGAUAGAAAAGGGAUUGAGGAUAAAGACACGAGCAAGAGAUAAUAUAAUUUUAUGACGAAUAAGAGUUAAAGAGUAAGAUGAGAAUGACUAUAUGAUGCGAAUAAAACAAAAAAGUGACAUUAGUAGAAUAAAAAGUAAAAAANNNNNNNNNNNNNNNNNNNNNNNNNNNNNNNNNNNNNNNNNNNNNNNNNNNNNNNNNNNNNNNNNNNNNNNNNNNNNNNNNNNNNNNNNNNNNNNNNNNNCGUGUUAUUAUCUAUCGGCAAACAAUUGACUUGAUAAUUGAUAAGGCAUAUAUUUAGGAUCUCGGCCACGUCGCGAUCCACGCCACGUCACACUCCUGCAGAUUCAACACAAGGGUUGCCUUCCUUCCACGUCGAGUUGGAGCUCGUAUAGGGAGGCACCCUCUCAACAAGUCCCUUCCCAGAAAGCUUGGGACGUUGUCCCAUGGCGUCGUUCCGCGCAUACCGGGUGACGAUUACACGAAGGUACGAUCUUGGGGGUAUCGAUCGUCAAGUCAAAUCCGCGUAUAAUCGAUCCUCGGACAAUAGUAUAAAAUCCCUUGACCGGCAUCUGGCUAGGAGACAAAGAACAGAAGAAAAAAAUCACUGACUUAGUCUACGAUGGGCCAAAGUCGGGAAUCUCCAGACCAGGGCGUGUGUGCAGGAACGUGGCCACCCCCGAACUAGCUCAAUCCCUCAUUGGAGAUGCGACCAUCCUGGCCGUUGAUCCAGACGCGACCAUCCCGACCCCUGAUCCAACUCGGCCUCGAUGCUUCUUCCAAUCGAUCGAGAGGCGCACUCCCGAACGUCGAAAACUCUGGACAUCGACAUGUGAACCAAAACGUGCCGACUCCUCGACCACGGCACGUAAGUUCACCAACAAAAAUAACGACGCAUUGUUGAAACAUUGAUUAUAAUCAAAGAAGAACGUUCUCAAAAUUAUUUUAAAAAAUAUUUUAUUUCUACCUAAUUAGUCAAUUAUUUAAAAUUUUUUUGAUGAUCAAUUCAUUUUCACUAACUCAGUAAAAUAUAAUAUUUGAAGAAAAUUAUACUGAAGAUAGAAUGUAAUAAAUGUAAUUAUAUAUAUAUAAUUAAUAUUUUUAAAAUAUAUUAAAUCGGAUAAUUUUACGGAAUAAGGUUUUGAGUCGUUCGAUGUAUGACUCUGUUAUAUCAAUAUAAGAUGAUAUUUUAGAUAUUAAAAAUAUAUACGAGACAACAUUUUGGUGCAGUUAUAUAUGUUUAAGAAAGACCACUUUUAUUACUGCAGGUGUGAAGAAGAUGCGACUCUACAACUCGGGAGUAAAAGACGAAGCGACAGCUCACAUCACCAUAAGUGCAAGCAUGUGGAUCACGCCAAGCAGAAGAAGACAGGCUUAAAGCAGUUCCUCCAUCACAGUGCCAUCUCGUCGCCGGAGGGCAACUCGAUCACUGUCUUGGAAACGGCGUCGUCUUCACGGCCUUGCAGUGGGUACGACACAGGGGGGAACUUGACCGUGUCGCCGCAGUUACUCUCCCUGCCGUUGGGGCAGCCGAUGAUCGACCUCCCGUCGCUGGAGACGCAGACGCGGAUCUGGUAGAGGUAGUCUUCGUAGAAGAAAGGCCAGAGAAUGUAAUUCCUGGUGCACACCACCGUGAACGAGAACCCGAUCCUGGGCACCAACGCGUCGUUGAUGUCGUCCAGGCUGUAGCUCUUCGUCGCGUGCGGUAUGAUCCCACUCGAGCCCAGGUUGACGAGGGGGUCCACCUUCUUCCUGAGUUGAAGCGCCCGGUCGAAGUAGAGCGACUGGUUGAGGCUGGAGCAAGUGCCGUAGGUGCACCACACGUCCUUCCAGUGGGGCAUCCCGCUGUUGCUGGGACAGGUCAGGUUGGCGUAGUACGUGUACAAGUUGUCGAGCAUGUUCACCAGCUGUCCAAACAAGACAAAGCGGUCAUCAUCGACAUCUCGGCCGAGUUAGCUCGGGUGGAGGAGGCUAACGAGACUCACCGGAAGUAUCUUGAAGACGCAGCUUCUGCUGCAGCCGGUGACCGGUUUACCGGUGGCGCUGUCGUAGGUUUCCAGGGCUUGGACGAGGAAGUCCGCCGCCGGCUCGCCAUUCGUCGGCAUACAGCACUUCCCUGUCGGUUGCGAGCUAGCACAGUAGCUUCCUGGCCACUGCAGUGAGAAGGACAUCAUACCAUCACCCAUCUUGCCAUCGAUGGUUACCACUACUGCAGGAAACCAGAACCAAGUAGAGGGUAACUAUACCAUAAGUUUCAAGAUCAGGUAGUCGGGCUUCGAAGCUGCCCUUGCCGCCGGAGAGGAAGACAAGCAUAACAGCAAGACAAGCAAGCAGAUCCCAGGAAGAGCCUUGAGGAUAGCCAUUCUGCAGGAGCUGUCGAGUUGCCUUGGUGAUGGUGGAUAAUAUAAGCCCAUCGUGGAACACACUGGUUGUGGCCUGGUGGUGGCGGGAUCCAUGGCAGCUCUAUCAAGAAAUGGCUGUCCUCGUCUCAGCCAUCAGCCUCUCCCCACGAGUUUCACGUGGCUUGCAGAUCUCAUCGCUUUCGAGAAAUGGUCGCCGUGCUGUUCACCACCAAUUUAAUGAUGACAUUAAAAUAAUGGCACAGUACAAGAUCAGAUGAUGUUCCAUGUGACUGACUUCUUUUAUUUGGACUCUCUCUCUCUCUCAUGAUUCGGGAACGGACAAGGAGAUGGAAGCAUUGAUUACAGUCGAGCCACCCAAACAACACCCCACUCCUCGCCAUCAAAUGUUCUUAUCUUCACAGACCGAACAUCAUUGAAGGGACUAAUAAGAAGAAGAUGGAUAGCAACCUGAUCGAAACAAGAACAAUGUUGAGAUGGGGAGGGGUUACGAACCGGUUCUGAGAAAGAUUUCUAGAUGUGAUUUCCUCUAAAGAAAUCAUGCAUUAAUUUGUUCUUGACCAAGUACAACAUGACUCGGAGAUUGGUAGACAAGAAAAAUGUAUUCAGAUCGUUCAUAAUUUCAUUUAAGAAAACCGAUCUAGAAGGAUUUUUUUUUGCGACAAUUAGGGAUUGAAAAUAGUCACGAUUAAGCCACUAAGUAGGGGUGAUGGUAAUUUCAGAACGGUCAAUUUUGAUUUCCGAAAUCAGCAACCGAGAAAAUAAAGAGUUAAAAAUAAUUAUAAUGAAUAUCAAAGUCUUUCCUCCAAUUACUAUAUGUUAGGAUAAAAAAUAUCGUUGAUGCGUGUAUUAGCAUGAUGUGAUCCUGAUCCGCAUACGAGGAGUCGAUAGAACAAGAUUUCUUCGAUCUCGUUCAUAUACAAAGACUAAGAUUGAAAGGGAUUUUCCGAGUUGAUUUAUCUAAUGCUUAACUUAGCACUUAGUUGCAUACAAAGACUUAUUUUUUUUUUAAUGAAGAUCCUAUAGAGAAAAAGUUCGAACUCAACUAUCUUUUUUAUUUUUAUGAUAUAUUUUUGUGAAUAUUUUUAUAGGAAAACUAGUUUAUAAUCAACUCAAACUACCUUUUAAUAUUCCUGAAAUAUUCCUACAAAUAUUUUGUAAGAAAGUCUGAAUUGUCUUAUGGGAAUAAUUCACGAUUAGCUAGUUUUUAAUUGAUCUGAAUUAUCUUCAAUUUUUUAUGAAUAUUUAAAUAUUUCAUCGAGGAGGUAGCUUAACAAAUCGGUAAUUGACCCGAGCUAUCUUUUGAGUUCGAAUAGAAAAUAUUGGCUUAAUAUGACAUUGACGUUACGAACGAUGACUAACCAAUUUAAUAUUUUCUUUCGCUAUGUGUAGUCAAACACUAUGUGAGUUGUGUUCAAACCACAAACUCUACGUAGCUAAAGAAAAAAAAAAAGGUAAGAUUAUUUUGUAUGAUCUAUAUUGAUCAAACGAUAAACAAGAAAAAAAUAGAAAAAGGUAAGAUAAGAUUAUUUUUUAUGGUCUCAUCGAAUAAAGUUUAUGUCGUCGAAACAAUUUCUAUGGUUACAAGAAUAGUGGAAGUCUCGUCAAGAGGAAACAAAAGAAUAUGGAAUAUGUGGAUCUCCUUUUUCCACGAAGGAGAGAUGGCAGAAGAAUUUUGUGUUCGAAUCCCAUCAUUUAUUUUGUAUCAAAAAAAGACACUAAUUCAACGAAAAGCUGAACACAAAUGAUGGAGAGAUGGAGUUUAGAUAUCAAACGUAUGGGAAUUUUACCUUCAUUAAGUAAAAUCCCAACUUGUUCAUGACAGGUAAUAUGCUCUGUUGUUAUUUGAUUAAUCUUAGAGACAGAGAUCAUAAAACAACAUCUUAUUCCAGUAGAUCGCAAGACGAUGAUGACAUCCUACACACAGGCAAUUCAUCAUGUUUGAGUGCCAAGAUGAUGAUGAUGACAUCCGCAUGACAAGAGGGCAGUAAUCCGUGGAUCGAUCACUGAGUCAUCGCCUUGUCCGAUGGCAACUUGAUGUGGUCGACCGCCGGAUGGCGCGGGCGCCCGAGCAUGUCGUCCGUGAACGGGUAGAACUUGACCUUGCUGCCGCAGUUGCUCUUCCUGGCGAAGGGACAACCGAUGAGAGACUUGCCGUCGGCGGAGACGCAGAUGCGGACUCUGGAGAGCAGGUAUUCCCGACUCAGCACGCCCAUCUCCGUGGUGCACUCCACCACCGCCGAGAACCCGAUCUUGGGCACCAGCGCGUCCUCGAUGUCCUCCAAACUGUAGCUCUUCGUCUCCGACGGGAUGAUGGCUUGAGAUCAGGAACAGAUCCAUGCGUUAGCUGCAGACACUUGUAAGCUCGAGGUCGGCGUGCAGGGCAGGGCUGCUUACCUUUGGAGCCGAGAGCACGGAGGAUGUCCACUCGAGCCCGGAGCUGAAGCGCCCGGCCGAAGUAAUUCACCUCGCUGAGGCUGGUACAGUUGCCGUAGGUACACCAGGCGGCCUUCCACACCUGCUUCCCGUUCUGGGCUGGGCAGCUCAAGCUGGGCCAGUAGGCGUUCAAGUCGUCCAACAGAUCGACAAGCUGUGGCAUGCGCAGAGUGAUCAGUGUGGGUCGGGAGCAGCGGAGAUCAUCGACUGCAUAGAUCCAAUCUGGCCUAUUACCGGGUUUAUCAAGAAGCGGCAGUUGGGUUCGCACUUGGCGACGAGCUUGCCGGUGGCGCUGUCGUAGGUCUCCAUGGUCUCCACCAGGAAGUCUGGCUCGGGGUUGCCGAUGAGCGGGUCAACGCAGCAGGUCGGCUUCCCGUUCCACCCUGGCUGGCAGCGAGUCCCCGGCCACUGCAGGAGUCACGAUCCAUUAGACUUCAUUAGCAAUUCACAGUAGGACUCAUCGAUUGCACAAGAAGGGCUUUCUGUAAAGCCGAAACAAAAGAGAGAGAGGAAUAGGUACUCUGAGAGACAGGAUCAUGUAGUCGUAUGAAGCAGCUGCUAGCGCACAAGAGGCGGCGCACAAGAGGAAGCAGAACGUGGGAAGAGCCUUUGAGCCGGCCAUUCCGCAGAGGUGGGAAGGAUGAUCGGGGGAGAUGAUGAGUCUGAUGGCUCUAAAUAAGCACGAAGACACACCCACCCACCCACCGAUAAUUGUUGGGCUACAUCGAUAUUGUUCUCGUGAGUAUAAUAUAAUAUAAUAUAAUGCACCUCGAUUGCGGCAUGGGGGUCGUAAAAUAAUGCACUUCGCUUUAAAUUUCGUACACCAACGUGAAACACGUGGGACGUUCCCGCAUCCCGCAAUCGUAGUGGGUUGGAAAGUGCGAGGAAAAAAAGAAGGAUUUUAUUUGAUUAUGGUCUCUCAUAGCAUAUUAUACUCUUCAUCUAAAUUAGGGAUUAAAAGGCUUCGAGACCAAGCAAGUGAAUAAUAAUAAAAUAAUAUAUUAAAAAAUCGAUCAAGAAAAAAUCCGUAAAAUAUUUUAUUCAUCUUUGAACAUGCUUUCGACCAUGCAUUAUUGAAACAUAUUCGUCCAUUUGAAAUAUCAUAUCUUUAAUCGCAUAUUACAUAUCAUAUGAAUUGGAUAUGUGUACUACCAUUAUUUUCCUUAAAUAAUAAUUUAAAUUUAUUAAAUUAAAAUUUAUGCCUGUGGACAUUAUUGUGUGAUCGGAACUGAGAACGAAGACUCGAACAAUGCAAAGGUCCGUAAGGUCUCGCCGAAUCAUCUUCCUUUGUCUUCCCUUUUACGCCAUCGGCGGUACCGAUGCAUUCGAUCCGGAGCUGGGCCUUCUCCGCCCUGAUCCUGGCUGUCACCGUCCUCUUCUUCUUCUUCUUCGACUGGCCGUCUCCUCCUCUUCAAGAAAUAGCCGGAGAUAUUCCUGGAUCCUUGAAUGACAUCGCUGUGACGGUAGGCCAUGGCUUCGAUUUCUUUCUCUCCCCUUCCUCUUCCCUUACCUUCUUUUCCCUUAGGAUAGGACAUAUUUUGGCCUUAUAUGAACCACCGAUAGACGUUGCAGAUCGACACAACACCGUACGCCUCCAAAACCGUGGGGUGCAUGCCACGUCAAGAGCCAACGAUGCAAUUGUGCGGCUUGACCACCUCAAAAGCUGGGGGCGGUGCCGUCUGCUGCUAGGGCAGUGUCGUCUGACGCCCCUCGAGCACCCUCGAAGAUGUCAUCUUGUCAGAGAGGUUGUUCCGCCCCUAGAGUUAACGACCAUAUCGGACCAGGGCCCGACCAAUUACCGCACGCAGGUAUAAAUACCCCCGACCUGAUCCAAAAAAAAGGGAGAAAAGGAUGAGAGAUUUAGAAUGAAUCUAACUUGCUCGUCGGAGGGGCCAAAGUUGGGACUUACCCUACGAGGGUCUUUUUGCAGAGAGGUAGUCGUCGCUGAGACGCGAAUGUCGUCUUCACACGGACGGUGCCCGGUACGCAGAGGAGGGUGGCCCAACGAGUCGGACUCGACAAGUGUCAGCCCGCAUCUCCCAUCUCCAAGAGGCUUCCACACCACAAGGAGGAUCCCCAACCAUCCGAGGGGAUGAGAGGACGCAUCUUCUCAUGAACAAUGCUCAUAUCGGCCAACUUUGGAAAGCCGGCUCACAGCGAGGCUCAGGCCGACCUUGCCACCUCAACCGGCGCUCAACGCGUUUAAGGGGCGCAACCACUCAAACGAUAGUAAUUCCGCCAGAAGUUCCCGACGUCGGCAGGUGGGCCUAGUCAUGCUGACAUAUUAGUCACGACAUGUUUGUUCACUAACAUUUUGGCCCUAGAAGAAGGGCCCAUGUCGCGGGAAUAGCUGGCAAGAACGUGCCCUGGGAGGGAACCCCCGACCGACCUCCCUUUCGCUGAGCCAGAAGGACAACCCCUCUCUACCCCUAUGGACGGAGGGAUACCGAUUUCAACGCUUGAUCGUUACUGGCGCUUGUUCAACGACCCGGGACUAUCCCCCCCGGGGCUCACCCCGGGGGGCCCGGCUGUGAUGCCCGAGGCAUUCCUUAGCCUAACCAAGCAAGUAUAGACCAUGACAGGCAUGAUGCACUCACUCGCCCCGAUCACUCCCCAAAUCGGGCAGCCCUCGAUGCCCUCGACCGAUCCGACCCGGCAACCCCCGAACGGGGAACAGCUCGGGGUUGGGCCAGCCUCGUGGCGAGCAACGGACCCGAGGGGUCCUCCCGUGCAAAAUGCGCCCACAGCUUGCUGAGCCACCCCAUCUCAUCUAGAGCCCGAUACUAUAUCAUCUGACUCGGCGAACGACUCACUCAGAGCUCAGUUGUCCCGGGUCAAUCAGCACCUGGACGAGUUCCAGCGUGAGCUUUGGAGAUUGCGUAGUGAGCCUAGCGAGGGCGCUUUGGUUGGGUCCCUCUUUACCCAAGAAGUACAAGAUAAGCCGGUCCCCCUCAACUUCAGGUUCCCGACAUUAGAAACGUACGAUGGAGGCUCGAUCCCAUGGAGCAUGUCUUUGUAUUCCGGGCCUAGAUGGCCCUCUAUGGUGCCUCCGAUGUGCUGAUGUGCCGAGUGUUUCCGACCACUCUGCGUGGCCCGGCGUGGACAUGGUUCAGCCGGCUGUGUCAAGCUUCAGUCUCGUCCUUCGACCAGGUGGUCGAGGAAUUUGAGCAAAGCUUCCUCACCGGCGCACGGCCCAGGCCCUCCAUGGCCACUUUGCUUGCACUAUCUCAGCACGAGGACGAGUCGCUCUCUCAGUUCGUGGCACGGUUCACACUAAGAUCCGAGGUUUUUCAGAUACUCACCCUUCUCUAAUCUUGCAAGCCUUUAUGAUGGGUCUUAAACCUUUAAGGUUCUUAUGGUCGUUGAUCGAGAAGCCGCCAGCGACCAUCUCUGAGAUGCUUCUACGUGCCAACCAGUACAUUGCCGUCGAGGCUUUAGUGGCGGGGAGGCACGUGGAAGGCAAGAAGCUCAGGAUGGAGCUGUCUCGAGGAACGGCCUCGGCGUUCCCGACGCCUCCCCGCCGGGGGCUCAACCGACAAGAGCUGCUACUCCCAAGACCCCCACCUCUCCCCCUAAACACAUCCCGUUCCGAGAUCUUCCUCUAGAUCAAAGAGACGAGCCUCUUGCAGCAGCCUUGCCCUAUGAAGGCCGCCCACAGAGACCAAUCUAAAUACCGUGGGGAUCCGUCGGCACACCCCGGAGGUGGGGGAGAAGUGAUAGGGCAUAUUUUGGCUCUAGAUGAAUCACCAACAAAUGUCACAAACCAAUAGCCACGAACGCAAUGCCAUGCGCCACCAGAACCACGGGGUGCAUGCCACGUCAAGUUCGGUACUAUGUGAUUGUGCGACUUGACCACCCCAAGAGCUCGGGGCGGUGUCGUCUACUUUUGGGACAGUGCCGUCUGACGCCACUCAAGCACCCCCAAGGAUGCCAUCUCGUCAAAGAAGUUAUCCCACCCCCAUGAAAGUUAGCGGCCACGCCGAACUGAGGCACAACCAACUCUCGCACGCAAGUAUAAAUACCCCCGUCCGAUCCCGAUGAGAGAAGAAAAAAAGGAGGAAGAAAAAACAGGGGAAUCCGAACUAAUCUAACUUGCUUGUCGGUGGGGCCAAAGUCGAGAGACACUCGACGAAGACCGUUUUGCAGGGAGGUGAUCGCCACUGAGCUGCGAGCGUCUCCACCCUGAAGUUGUCACCUAAUGCGCAGAGGAGGGUGGUCCAGUGGUUCGGAUCCCAACCAGCGCCGGCCUGCAUCUCCCAUCUCAAGGGUGUGCCCACGUCGCGGGGAAAGAUUGCCAACUAUCCCGGGGAUGAGAGGACACAUCUCGCCAGAAGCGACGCUCAGGUCGGCUAGCUUUGGAGUGCUAACCCCCAGCCGCUCGCGAGGACCCGACCGACCCUACCGCCUCAACCCUCGCUCGUAACGCUCGAGAGGCGCAACCAUCUCAUCAUCCUACUCAUUCCACUAGAAGUUUCCGACGUCGGUCCGUGGACCAAACUGUGAUGUCUCAUCAGCCAUGGUACUUUUGUUCACUAACAGACAUCAAACAUAUGGGAAUUUUACCUUCAUUAAUUAAAAUCCCAACUUGUUCAUGACCGGUAAUAUGCUAUGUGAUUAUUUGAUUAAUCUUAGAGACAGAGAUCAUAAAACAUCAUCUUAUUCCAGCAUAUGGCAAGACGAUGAUGACAUCCUACACACAGGCAAAUCAUCGUGUUUUAGUGCCAAGAUGAUGAUGAUGAUAUCCGCAUGACAUCGUACACAUAUCGCCUUGUCCGAUGGCAACUUGAUAUGGCCGGCCGCCGGAUGGCGCGGGCGCCCGAGCAUGUCGUCCGUGAACGGGUAGAACUUGACCUUGCUGCCGCAGUUGCUCUUCCUGGCGAAGGGACAACCGAUGAUAGACUUGCCGUCGGCGGAGACGCAGAUGCGGACUCUGGAGAGCAGGUAUUCCCGACUCAGCACGCCCAUCUCCGUGGUGCACUCCACCACCGCCGAGAACCCGAUCUUGGGCACCAGCGCGUCCUCGAUGUCCUCCAAACUGUAGCUCUUCGUCUCCGACGGGAUGAUGGCUUGAGAUCAGGAACCGAUCCAUGCGUUAGCUGCAGACACUUGUAAGCUCGAGGUCGGCAUGCAGGGCAGGGCUGCUUACCUUUGGAGCCGAGGGCAUGGAGGACGUCGGCUCGAGCCCGGAGCUGAAGCGCCCGGCCGAAGUAAUUCACCUCGCUGAGGCUGGUACAGUUGCCGAAGGUACACCAGGCGGCCUUCCACACCUGCUUCCCGUUCUGGGCUGGGCAGCUCAAGCUGGGCCAGUAGGCGUACAAGUCGUCCAACAGAUCGACAAGCUGUGGCAUGAGCAGAGUGAUCAGUGUGGGUCGGGAGCAGCGGAGAUCAUCGACUGCAUACAUCUAAUCUGGCCUAUUACCGGGUUUAUCAAGAAGCGGCAGUUGGGUUCGCACUUGGCGACGAGCUUGCCGGUGGCGCUGUCGUAGGUCUCCAUGGUCUCCACCAGGAAGUCUGGCUCGGGGUUGUCGAUGAGCGGGUCAACGCAGCAGGCCGGCUUCCCGGUCCACCCUGGCUGGCAGCUAGUCCCCGGCCACUGCACGAGUCACGAUCCAUUAGACUUCAUUAGCAGUUCACCGCAGGAGUCAUCGUUUGCACAAGAAAGGCUUUCUGUAAAGCCGAAACAAAAGAGAGAGAGAGAGAGAGAGAGAGAGAGAGAGGAAUUAGGUACUAUGAGAGACAGGAUCAUGUAGUCGUAUGAAGCAGCUGCUAGCGCACAAGAGGCGGCACACAAGAGGAAGCAGAACGUGGGAAGAGCCUUUGAGCCAGCCAUUCUGCAGAGGUGGGGAGGAUGAUCGGGGGAGA